AGCAUGUGGUUUAAUUCGACGCAACGCGAAGAACCUUACCAGGGCUUGACAUCCUCUGACCGCAUAUGAAAGUAUGUUUUCUGGCUUCGGUCAGACGGAGAGACAGGUGGCGCAUGGUUGUCGUCAGCUCGUGUCGUGAGAUGUUGGGUUAAGUCCCGCAACGAGCGCAACCCCUACGUUUAGUUGCUAACGUGUAACGAUGAGCACUCUAGGCGGACUGCCGUUGACAAAACGGAGGAAGUGGGAUGACGUCAAAUCAUCAUGCCCCUUAUGUUCUGGGCUACACACGUGCUACAAUGGCCGGUACAAAGGGACGCAAAGCCGCGAGGUGGAGCAAAUCCGAUAAAAGCCGGUCUCAGUUCGGAUUGCAGGCUGCAAUUCGCCUGCAUGAAGUCGGAAUCGCUAGUAAUCGCAGGUCAGCAUACUGCGGUGAAUACGUUCCCGGGCCUU
rnacentral:rRNA from 1 species